GAUCAGACUUGGUAUUUUGUAUGUUACUCUCUCGGGGGUGGCCUCUACAGUUUACCGGGCCAGCAUCAGUUUGAGCGGUAGGAUAAGUGCAAAGAAAUGUGGCACUGCUUCGGUAGUGUGUUAUAGUCUUUGUCGAUACUGCCAGCUUAGACUGAGGACUGCGGCUUCGGCCUAGGAUGUUGGCAUAAUGAUCUUAAGUCGCCCGUCUUGA
rnacentral:rRNA from 1 species